rnacentral:rRNA from 1 species
UACGGGGGGGGCAAGCGUUGUUCGGAAUUACUGGGCGUAAAGGGCUCGUAGGCGGCCAACUAAGUCGGACGUGAAAUCCCCAGGCUCAACCUGGGAACUGCGUCCGAUACUGGAUGGCUUGAAUCCGGGAGAGGGAUGCAGAAUUCCAGGUGUAGCGGUGAAAUGCGUAGAUAUCUGGAGGAACACCGGUGGCGAAGGCGGCAUCCUGGACCGGUAUUGACGCUGAGGCGCGAAAGCCAGGGGAGCAAACGGG